rnacentral:lncRNA from 1 species
GUGUACGUUUUCCAACCCCAUCUUGUGGGAAUUAGCACUGUUGGGAGAAGGCCCAAUUCCCUGAUCCCACCCAUGGCCAAGGAGAAUAGAGAAGCACUAACUUGGGACUUUCUACCUUACCUGUGGGCUGCCUGGUGGACUGCUUUCUCUAUCACAUGACUCAGAACUCAAAUGGGGACAAGUGCAGGGCUCAGACCUCAGGUGAGGGAACUAUUGACAGCAGUGGUGGGCAUCACUGUAUGACCACUGCAUGAAGGAAAAGGGAUCAGGUAACACACAGCCCAACCAGGCCCUAAAGAAACUGGCAUGGGAGUUUCUGGAUAGCCAGCUCACUUAAAACAUCAGUGUGUGAAGGAAAAUUGGAGUUGGAAGCACACACUCAGGAACCAGCUUUCUUAGGACAGACUAAAGACUAUACCUGGGCAGAUCCCAAUCCUCAGAGCAAGCCCUGAUCAUCAGUGAGGGUGUUCAACAUCAGAAUCCAAAGGCUGGGCAGGUGAAUGUUUAGUUCAAAGUCUGCAUUUCAACAGAAGAUGGCAAGGCACACAAAUGAGCAAGGAAACAUGAGCCAUGCAAAGGAAUAAAGAAUCCUUAGAAACAACCCUAACAGGAAAAGACAUCAGAGUAACAGGACAUCAUCUUUCCAAUGUCUUCCUUACAGAUGUGUCAACUAUAAAGAGGAAAUGCAGGAAAACAGCAGAAGAUAAUCAGGAAAAUGUUAUGUGGAAAAAAAUCACAGUAUCAUUGAAGAGAUGUAAAUCAUAUUAACAAGAAAAAAAAACAGGAAGUUCUGGAGUUGAGAAACACCCUAAGGAGCUCUAGAUAAGGCAAAGGGG